GGGUGAGGAGAGUAUACUAAGGCCAGCGAGAGAACUGUUGUUAAGGAACUCGGCAAAAUGACCCCGUAACUUAGGGAUACGGGGUGCCACCAUCAGGUGGCCGCAGAGAAUAGGCCCAAGCGACUGUUUACCAAAAACAUAGGUUUCUGCUAAGUCGCAAGACGAUGUAUAGGCGCUGACGCCUGCCCGGUGCUGGAAGGUUAAGGGGAUCUGUUAGAGUAAUCGAAGCAGUGAACUUAAGCCCCAGUAAACGGCGGCCGUAACUAUAACGGUCCUAAGGUAGCGAAAUUCCUUGUCGGGUAAGUUCCGACCCGCACGAAAGGCGUAACGAUUUGGGCACUGUCUCA
rnacentral:rRNA from 1 species